AAGGGAGCAUCUGUCGACAGU
rnacentral:miRNA from 1 species